rnacentral:ncRNA from 1 species
GCGUAGUAUGCGCAGCGAUUUAGUAAUAAGAGGACACACACUUUGGACAGCCACAGUCGAUGCCGAUUGGAAUCUUUCAUCUAAAUCUCGCCAUUACUUAUCGGCGAGAUUUUCG